rnacentral:rRNA from 1 species
ACGGGAGGCAGCAGUGGGGAAUAUUGGGCAAUGGGCGAAAGCCUGACCCAGCAACGCCGCGUGAAGGAAGAAGGUCUUCGGAUUGUAAACUUCUUUUAUCAGGGACGAAGAAAGUGACGGUACCUGAUGAAUAAGCCACGGCUAACUACGUGCCAGCAGCCGCGGUAAUACGUAGGUGGCGAGCGUUAUCCGGAUUUACUGGGUGUAAAGGGCGCGUAGGCGGGGAUGCAAGUCAGAUGUGAAAUCCAUGGGCUUAACCCAUGAACUGCAUUUGAAACUGUGUCUCUUGAGUGCUGGAGAGGUAGAUGGAAUUCCUUGUGUAGCGGUGAAAUGCGUAGAUAUAAGGAAGAACACCAGUGGCGAAGGCGAUCUACUGGACAGUAACUGACGCUGAGGCGCGAGAGCGUGGGGAGCAAACAGGAUUAGAUACCCUGGUA